rnacentral:rRNA from 1 species
ACAGGUGCUGCAUGGCUGUCGUCAGCUCGUGUUGUGAAAUGUUGGGUUAAGUCCCGCAACGAGCGCAACCCUUAUCCUUUGUUGCCAGCGGUUCGGCCGGGAACUCAAAGGAGACUGCCAGUGAUAAACUGGAGGAAGGUGGGGAUGACGUCAAGUCAUCAUGGCCCUUACGACCAGGGCUACACACGUGCUACAAUGGCGCAUACAAAGAGAAGCAACCUCGCGAGAGCAAGCGGACCUCAUAAAGUGCGUCGUAGUCCGGAUUGGAGUCUGCAACUCGACUCCAUGAAGUCGGAAUCGCUAGUAAUCGUGAAUCAGAAUGCCA